GUACCUUCCCAGAAAGGGACGGCUAAAUACGUGCCAGCAGCCGCGGUAAUACGUAUGUCCCGAGCGUUAUCCGGAUUUAUUGGGCGUAAAGCGAGCGCAGACGGUUUAUUAAGUCUGAUGUGAAAGCCCGGAGCUCAACUCCGGAAUGGCAUUGGAAACUGGUUAACUUGAGUGCAGUAGAGGUAAGUGGAACUCCAUGUGUAGCGGUGGAAUGCGUAGAUAUAUGGAAGAACACCAGUGGCGAAGGCGGCUUACUGGACUGCAACUGACGUUGAGGCUCGAAAGUGUGGGUAGCAAACAGGAUUAGAUACCCUGGUAGUCCACACCGUAAACGAUGAACACUAGGUGUUAGGAGGUUUCCGCCUCUUAGUGCCGAAGCUAACGCAUUAAGUGUUCCGCCUGGGGAGUACGACCGCAAGGUUGAAACUCAAAGGAAUUGACGGGGACCCGCACAAGCGGUGGAGCAUGUGGUUUAAUUCGAAGCAACGCGAAGAACCUUACCAGGUCUUGACAUCCUUUGAAGCUUUUAGAGAUAGAAGUGUUCUCUUCGGAGACAAAGUGACAGGUGGUGCAUGGUCGUCGUCAGCUCGUGUCGUGAGAUGUUGGGUUAAGUCCCGCAACGAGCGCAACCCUUAUUGUUAGUUGCCAGCAUUCAGAUGGGCACUCUAGCGAGACUGCCGGUGACAAACCGGAGGAAGGCGGGGACGACGUCAGAUCAUCAUGCCCCUUAUGACCUGGGCUACACACGUGCUACAAUGGCGUAUACAACGAGUUGCCAGCCCGCGAGGGUGAGCUAAUCUCUUAAAGUACGUCUCAGUUCGGAUUGUAGUCUGCAACUCGACUACAUGAAGUCGGAAUCGCUAGUAAUCGCGGAUCAGCACGCCGCGGUGAAUACGUUCCCGGGUCUUGUACACACCGCCCGUCACACCAUGGGAGUUUGUAAUGCCCAAAGCCGGUGGCCUAACCUUUAGGAAGGAGCCGUCUAAGCAGACAGAUGCUG
rnacentral:rRNA from 1 species